rnacentral:tRNA from 1 species
GCGCUCAUAGCUCAAUUGGUAGAUGUAACUGGCUUUUAACCAGUGGGUUCUGGGUUCGAGUCCCAGUGGGCGUA